rnacentral:rRNA from 1 species
UACCUGCAGCUCAAGUGGUGAUCGUUAUUAUUGGGCCUAAAACGUCCGUAGCCGGUCUUAUAAAUGCCUGGGUAAAUCGUGUAGCUCAACUAUACGAAUUCCGGGUAGACUGUAAGACUUGGGACCGGGAGAGGCUAGAGGUACUCCUGGGGUAGAGGUGAAAUUCUGUAAUCCUGGGGGGACCACCAGUGGCGAAGGCGUCUAGCUAGAACGGGUCUGACGGUGAGGGACGAAGCCCUGGGGCGCAAACCGGAUUAGAUACCCGGGUAGUCCAGGGUGUAAACGCUGCUUGCUUGAUGUUAGUCGGGCUCCGAGCCCGAUUAGUGUCGGAGAGAAGUUGUUAAGCAAGCUGCCUGGGAAGUACGGUCGCAAGACUGAAACUUAAAGGAAUUGGCGGGGAGCACAGCAACGGGUGGAGCGUGCGGUUU